rnacentral:snoRNA from 1 species
AACAUCUAUCGCAGCUUCACCCUCUACCAAGUCAGUUUAUCUUUUUCGCAUAUAAAUAUUCUGAUUGGAGGAUUACCAGUGAGUGAAAGCGUAGAAGAACCAUCAAGGAGCACGUUUCUGGGCGCCCGGUAUUGACAUUGAUCGUGGAAUACUGGGAAUCAGUUGUGACUAAAUCU